rnacentral:rRNA from 1 species
CGUAGGGAGCGAGCGUUAUCCGGAUUUAUUGGGUGUAAAGGGUGCGUAGGCGGCUUAUUAAGUCUGUAGUCUAAGCCUGGAGCUUAACUCCGGUUCGCUACAGAAACUGAUUAGCUUGAGUAUGGUAGAGGCAAGUGGAAUUUCUAGUGUAGCGGUUAAAUGCGUAGAUAUUAGAAGGAACACCAGUGGCGAAGGCGACUUGCUGGGCCAUUACUGACGCUGAGGCACGAAAGCGUGGGGAGCAAA